rnacentral:rRNA from 1 species
CGUUGGCGGCGCGGAUUAGGCAUGCAAGUCGUGCGAGAAGCUUCCCUUCGGGGGAGUGGACAGCGGCGAAAGGGAGAGUAACGCGUGGAUUACCUACCCCCGAGUCCGGGAUAGCUGCGGGAAACUGCAAGUAAUACCGGAUAAUAUCCCCGGAUCAAAGGUGUGAUUCCGCUUGGGGACGGGUCCGCGUCCUAUUAGCUUGUUGGUGGGGUAACGGCCUACCAAGGCGACGAUGGGUACCGGGCGUGAGAGCGUGGCCCGGCUCACUGGGACUGAGACACUGCCCAGACACCUACGGGUGGCUGCAGUCGAGAAUCUUCGGCAAUGGACGCAAGUCUGACCGAGCGACGCCGCGUGCGGGAUGAAGGCCUUCGGGUUGUAAACCGCUGUCAGUUGGGAGGAAAUCCUAGGGGGCUAUCCCUCUAGGUUGACCUAUCUUCAGAGGAAGGACGGGCUAAGUUCGUGCCAGCAGCCGCGGUAAGACGAACCGUCCAAACGUUAUUCGGAAUCACUGGGCUUAAAGGGUGCGUAGGCGGUCCGGCAAGUUGGGUGUGAAAUCCCUCGGCUCAACCGAGGAAUUGCGCUCAAAACUGCCGGACUUGAGGGAGACAGAGGUGAGCGGAACUUAGGGUGGAGCGGUGAAAUGCGUUGAUAUCCUAAGGAACACCAGUAGCGAAAGCGGCUCACUGGGUCUCUUCUGACGCUCAGGCACGAAAGCUAGGGUAGCGAACGGGAUUAGAUACCCCGGUAGUCCUAGCUGUAAACGAUGAGCACUGGGUUGGAGGCUCCUCCAUAGGCUUCCAGCCGUAGCGAAAGUGUUAAGUGCUCCGCCUGGGGAGUAUGGUCGCAAGGCAA